AUGCGUUCAUGUGCGUGCGUGCGUUGUGUGUGCUUGUGGCAUGCGUGUGUGUCGCUGGGUAGGCGUGAGAGCCGGAGCUAGCUAGCCAGGCCGAACUUGGUGGCUGCUAGGUGUGGUUGUUAGCGCAUGCAUGCACUGGUAGUUAGCUGGUUAGCCGGCCUGGAGUUAGUGGCCGGUAGUGGUGGCCGUGUGGUGCGUGCGUGGGGGUCUGUAUGCUUGGCCGCUGCGUUACGUGAGUAUAAAGGCCAGGCGAUGUAGUACGAGAGCCGUGGUGCUCUGGGAACGAGUUCGUGCUCGUGGGUGUUGGCGUUUGAGCGCCGGAAACCUCUUGUGUCCACCUGUGUCUUCUUCUUCCCUUCUUCUUCUACCUCGGUCUGCAGCAGAACAAGAGAGCUGUGAGAGGUAGGCGAGAGCUAGGGCUAGUCGGCAACAACAAUUGGUAUCGGAGCAUCGGGUUCGGAGGAGCUCGCCGGCGAUGGCGCUCGUCCCGUGCGGCGGCGGAGCACGGUGAUGCCGGGCGUGCGGAGAGCGCGGCGGCCGCGGCGGACCUGCGCGGUGGCGCAGAGGCUGCGGUGGCGCGGCGCGGCUCGGCGGAGGGAAGGCCAAGCUCCGGGACACGCCGGAUCGGCCGCGUUGGUCGCCUCGGAGCGCGAUCAUGGCGCGGGCUGGUGGCGUGCGGAGCGUGGCAGAACAAGCCGCGGCGACGGGCUCACCGCGUCGGGCGCGUGUAUGGGCGCGCGCCAGACGUAGCGGGCACGUCGGGAUCGCGGGUGCGGACCACGUCGGGGCGCUGGACCCGGUUGCGCAGAUCGCGUAUGUGCGCGGCGGGAGCGCGGGGACGUGGGGAGUGCGCGCGAAGGGCACGGCGGUCGCGGAGACGAGGAGGUCGCGAAGGACCUGCGUGGUGGCGCAGAGGUCGCGAUGGCUCGGGCGACAAUCGUGGAAGGUGCGUGACACGUAGGCGCGCGCGUGGCGGCUGCCAUGGCAGACGCGGAGGCGGCACGCGGUGAGCGUCUGGUGCUGUCGGGCUCGUCGGGUGCGACGGAUGCGCGCGGGACGUGCGGGACGCACUGGUGCGAUCGGGCUCGUCGGGCGCGUUGGGUGCGCGCGGGACGUGCGGGGCGCAGAGGGACGCCAGGCGUGUGUCGCCGGCGGAGAAGGAGCUCGGCGUAUGUUGCCGGAGUCAUGAUGGAGCACGGUGCAACCGGCGUCGUUGCGGCAGGUUGGGUCCGCGGACUGGGUCACGACUAUGACGACGACAAUGACAGGAGCUGCAACAACUUCGACGACAGCGAGAUCAUGGCUUAGGAGGAGAAUGUUAGAAAUAAGCCAUGCGUUCAUGUGCAUGCGUGCGUUGUGUGUGCUUGUGGCAUGCAUGUGUGUCGCUGGGUAGGCGUGAGAGCCGGAGCUAGCUAGCCAGGCCGAACUUGGUGGCUGCUAGGUGUGGUUGUUAGCGCAUGCAUGCACUGGUAGUUAGCUGGUUAGCCGGCCUGGAGUUAGUGGCCGGUAGUGGUGGCCGUGUGGUGCGUGCGUGGGGAUCUGUAUGCUUGGCCGCUGCGUUACGUGAGUAUAAAGGCCAGGCGAUGUAGUACGAGAGCCGUGGUGCUCUGGGAACGAGUUCGUGCUCGUGGGUGUUGGCGUUUGAGCGCCGGAAA
rnacentral:lncRNA from 1 species